UUGUGCUAGUGACCAUAUCCGGGCUAAGUCCUAAAGGCAUUUGUGCUAGUGACUAUAUCCGGGCGAAGUCCCGAAGGCAUUUGUGCGAGUAGUUGCUAUACCCGGGCUAAGUCCCGAAGGCAUUUGUGCUAGUGACUAUAUCCGGGCUAAGACCCGAAGGCAUGUUGCGAGUUGCUAUAUCCGGCUAAAUCCCGAAGGUACUUGGGUUUGGAAGUGAGCGAUCUUGCUGUAAUAAUUUCAAAUAAUACGCUCAUGAAAUCCAAACAAUAAGAUUUUGUUCGUCAGCUAUCGGACUCGGGAUUGUCAAAGUCGAAGUCGUCCACACUAUCUAAACCCUUUUGGUACCUUUUUUUUUUUUAGUUGAACUUCGAUAGUGGCAUGUAUGGGACUGACCUUUGUUGUUAAUUAAGUACCUUUUGGUAAUGUAUAUAUAUUCGGAUGGCCAUGCGAAAAUGGCUUAUAUAUUUUGAGCGUAGCGUUAUAAUCAUUUUGUGUAUAUAUAUAUGGUUAUUGAGAGGUGUGGAAA